ACGAGAGGGAGUACAAUUAUAUUGCAAGACAAAGGAAAACUUCACUUUAUUUCAUACCUGGGAAGGCACAGUACUUCCUCCAGGAUGAAGAGGAGAAAAACUGAACAGAAGUUCAACCCUGAAGAUAACUAAAAUGGUAUAAAAACGAUUGAAUAACCCAUCUGGUGUCUGCUGCCAACAACUAUCAACACAUCUUCCAGAUGCCUCUGCUGAACG